rnacentral:rRNA from 1 species
GACGAACGCUGGCGGCGUGCUUAACACAUGCAAGUCGAACGGAAAGGCCCUGCUUUUGUGGGGUGCUCGAGUGGCGAACGGGUGAGUAACACGUGAGUAACCUGCCCUUGACUUUGGGAUAACUUCAGGAAACUGGGGCUAAUACCGGAUAGGAGCUCCUGCUGCAUGGUGGGGGUUGGAAAGUUUCGGCGGUUGGGGAUGGACUCGCGGCUUAUCAGCUUGUUGGGGGGGUAGUGGCUUACCAAGGCUUUGACGGGUAGCCGGCCUGAGAGGGUGACCGGCAACAUUGGGAAUGAGAUAAGGCCCAGACUACUACGGGAGGAAGAAGUGGGGAAUAUUGCACAAUGGGCUGAAGCAUGAUGCAGCAACGCCGCGUGCGGGAUGACGGGCUUCGGGUUGGAAAACGCUUUCGCCUGUGACGAAGCGUGAGUGACGGUAAUGGGUAAAGAAGCAACGGCUAACUACGUG